rnacentral:rRNA from 1 species
UUGUGGUGAAAAAGCUCGUAGUUGGAUCUCGGCGGACUGAGGGCGGUUUGCUUGCUAGUAUUACUGCCCUAUAGUCCGUAGUUUUGCCAGAGGUUUCGGGGUGCUCUUAAUCGAGUGUCCCGGGAUGCUGGCAGGUUUACUUUGAAAAAAUUAGAGUGCUCAAAGCAGGCUAUUACGCCUGAAUAUUCGUGCAUGGAAUAAUAGAAUAGGAAGUCGUUUCUAUUUUGUUGGUUUUCGGAAAUCGACUUAAUGAUUAAUAGGGACAGUCGGGGGCAUUUGUAUUCAAACGACAGAGGUGAAAUUCUUGGACCGUUUGAAGACAAACUACUGCGAAAGCAUUUGCCAAGAAUGUUUUCAUUAAUCAAGAACGAAAGUUAAAGGUUCGAAGGCGAUUAGAUACCGCCCUAGUUUUAACCAUAAACGAUGCCAGCUAGCGAUCUGCGGACGUUUUUUUUGUAGACUCCGCAGGAAGCUUCCGGGAAACCAAAGCAUUUGGGUUCCAGGGGAAGUAUGGUUGCCAAGCUGAAACUUAAAGGAAUUGACCGAAAGGCACCACCAGGAGUGGAACCUGUGGCUUAAUUUGACUCA